rnacentral:rRNA from 1 species
AGUGAACGCUGGCGGCAGGCCUAACACAUGCAAGUCGAACGAGUGGCGGACGGGUGAGGAAUAGAUCGGAAUCUGCUUGAUCGUGGGGGAUAACGUAGGGAAACUUUAGCUAAUACCGCAUACGAUUGAAUGAGCCGAGGUCGGAUUAGCUAGUUGGUGGGGUAAAGGCCCACCAAGGCGACGAUCCGUAGCUGGUCUGAGAGGAUGAUCAGCCACACUGGAACUGAGACACGGUCCAGACUCCUACGGGAGGCAGCAGUGGGGAAUAUUGGACAAUGGGCGCAAGCCUGAUCCAGCCAUGCCGCGUGUGUGAAGAAGGCCUUCGGGUUGUAAAGCCCUUUUGUUGGGAAAGCGGUACCCAAAGAAUAAGCACCGGCUAACUUCGUGCCAGCAGCCGCGGUAAUAC